rnacentral:rRNA from 1 species
UGCCAGCCGCCGCGGUAAUACGGAAGGUGCAAGCGUUGUUCGGAUUGACUGGGCGUAAAGAGCACGUAGGCGGGCUCAUAAGUCGGUUGUGAAAGCCCCGGGCUUAACCUGGGAAUUGCAGUCGAAACUGUGGGUCUUGAAUGUUUGAGAGGUUGGUAGAAUUCCAGGUGUAGAAGUGAAAUUCGUAGAUAUCUGGAGGAAUACCGGAGGCGAAGGCGGCCAACUGGCAAAACAUUGACGCUGAGGUGCGAAAGCGUGGGUAGCAAACAGGAUUAGAUA